rnacentral:snRNA from 1 species
GGAACCGAUGUGCUUUCAUGGGAG